UACGAAGGGGGCUAGCGUUGUUCGGAAUUACUGGGCGUAGAGCGCGUGUAGGCGGGUCUUUAAGUCAGGGGUGAAAUGCCAAGGCUCAACCUUGGAACUGCCUUUGAUACUGGAGAUCUUGAGUCCGGGAGAGGUGAGUGGAAUUGCGAGUGUAGAGGUGAAAUUCGUAGAUAUUCGCAAGAACACCAGUGGCGAAGGCGGCUCACUGGCCCGGAACCGACGCUGAGACGCGAAAGCGUGGGGAGCAAACAGG
rnacentral:rRNA from 1 species